rnacentral:rRNA from 1 species
CUACUCACCUUUUAGCAUACCUGCCCAGUGCGAAAUAUUACUGUAAACGGCCGCCCUAGCGUGAGGGUGCUAAGGUAGCGAAAUUCCUUGCCUUUUAAUUGUAGGCCUGCAUGAAUGGUUUGACGAGGGUCAAGCUGUCUCUAGAUUUAUUAGUUGAAAUUGUACUAAAGGUGAAGAUACCUUUAUUUAGAAGUUAGACAAAAAGACCCCGUGCAACUUUGAAAACUAACUUUAUUCAGGAGUGAAAGAUUUUUAGGUGGGGCGCCUAGGGAGUAAAUCUAACCUCUCUGAGUUUAGUCAAACUCUCAAGUUUUGACCCGGUUAUACCCGAUCAUAGGAGAAGUUACGCCGGGGAUAACAGGCUAAUCCUUUAGUAGAGUUCGUAUUGGCUGAAGGGAUUGGCACCUCGAUGUUGAAUCAGGGAUGAUACCUUCAAGGCGUAGAGGCUUUGAGAGUGGGUCUGUUCGACCUUUAAUACCCUACGUGAUCUGAUUCAAAAACACGAAA